rnacentral:rRNA from 1 species
CAGUCGCCGCGGUAAUACGUAGGUGGCAAGCGUUGUCCGGAAUUAUUGGGCGUAAAGCGCGCGCAGGUGGUUUAAUAAGUCUGAUGUGAAAGCCCACGGCUCAACCGUGGAGGGUCAUUGGAAACUGUUAAACUUGAGUGCAGGAGAGAAAAGUGGAAUUCCUAGUGUAGCGGUGAAAUGCGUAGAGAUUAGGAGGAACACCAGUGGCGAAGGCGGCUUUUUGGCCUGUAACUGACACUGAGGCGCGAAAGCGUGGGGAGCAAACAGGAUUAGAUACCCCCGUAGUCCCUGUCUCUUAUAA